UACGGGGGGGGCAAGCGUUGUUCGGAAUUACUGGGCGUAAAGGGUCUGUAGGUGGCUUGCUAAGUCAGACGUGAAAUCCCUCAGCUUAACUGGGGAACUGCGUCUGAGACUGGCGAGCUUGAGUGCAGGAGAGGAACGCGGAAUUCCAGGUGUAGCGGUGAAAUGCGUAGAUAUCUGGAGGAACACCGGUGGCGAAGGCGGCGUUCUGGACUGCAACUGACACUGAGAGACGAAAGCCAGGGGAGCAAACAGG
rnacentral:rRNA from 1 species